ACCUGACUCCCGUACCUCGGCAGGCUAUCCUGUGGGUGAUUCCCCCUCGUUCAGCUAAGUGCGCUGAGCGCUGUCGCGGUCUGAGCGCUGUACGCUCUGUCUCCCUCACAGCCGGGGAUAACUGGCGCUGCCUCAUUGCUGAGGGCCCCUGGUGGAGAGACUGGUGGUGACUCCGGGUGGCGGUAUCUCCCUCCUUGUGUGAUGUGUCGGGCAACCCUGGUUUGAGGGUGUGUGUUUUUCACGCGUGAUUUGGAUGACCCCUGGGAUCCCUCGUUCCUCCUUUACCCAGGUCUCCAUCGGCAAGCCUCAGCUCUGAUCAGGCCUCCCCAUUUUUCUGGGUGGCGUUGUCUGGCUUCCCGUGGUAAAAGUACUGUUAUCCCUUGACUUACUAUUCCCCACCCGCAUGCCACAUUUGCUAUGCCGGGAUAGACGAUGGUUAGCCAAGGCUGUCUCGGGGUGUCAGAGUUGCAGAAUUUAGGUUAUAUCUUGCAAGAUGCACUGCAGUAAAUAUACAACAGACUCAGACAGAGACCAAGUGGAACUUUGGAAGAAGCCAUUCUGUUUGUGAGAUGACAACAUUAUUUGGAGAGAACUAAAGUGGAGCACAGUGAGCAGGAAUAGACCCAAAAGGAGAGAUCGAGGAGAUAGUUCUCAAGACAGCGAUACGGACAGGCCGCAGACCAAAGCAAUGAGAUCUGAUCAAAACAGUGAUGAGGGGUUUAAAGUGAAGGGAGGUUCCGGAUUUACUGCUGUCAGUCCCCUUAAAUUGACAAAUUAACUUAAAAAAAAGAUUGGUGAUGUAAUGCAUGCCCCACUUAUGCAAAAUGGAAUGAUCUCUAUUAUAUUCAAGUCAGCAAUGCAACAAACUAAGGUGCUCAAGAUAAAAAAUGUGCUGGGUAAGGGAGUCAAGGUUUUCAAGCCAUGGUUAAAUACUGAGGUUAAAAGAGUAAUGUACAAUGUGUCAUUGGAAUUAUCUGAGCAAGAAAUAUUAACCUGUCUGAAGGGAGGCAAUGUCACGGCUGCAGAGCGCAUGGGCAGGGGUGAGAAUGGAAGAGGAACCACCCCUGUCCUUCUCACCUUCAGAGAUGAUGUGGUACCUAAGAGAGUCAUGUUGGGAUAUAUGAUAUACACAGUGAAAGAGUAUGAAAGACCCCCUAUGAGAUGCUUUAAGUGCCAGAAAUAUGGGCAUGUGGCAGCUGUGUGUAAUGGAAAGCGAAUGUAUAGAUGAUCCUAAACAAAUCUAGACAGAGCAGGGUGGGUGGACGGGGGCCA